rnacentral:lncRNA from 1 species
ACUUUAAUGAAGAGUUGCGACUUUUAUGAAGAAUUGUGACUUUUAUGAAAGUUUGCGUCUUUUAUGAAAAGUUGUGACUUUUAUGAAAAGUUACAACUUUUAUGAAAGGUUGUGACCUUUUCGAUAAAACACAAAAAAAAAUUGUUCACACUACCUUUUGUUUUCUAUAAAUAGACUUCCUCUCAUUUUAAAACAACGAAAAUUUUGAUUUUCUUUUUCUUCUUCUGGAUAGUUAAAUAAUUGUGUACUUUGCUCUUGUUGAAUGACUCAUUGACACUAUUUUUUUGUAUCAAUAUACUGGUGAAUAGAAUCGUUCUUUCCUGAGAGGAUCUAUUCCUUUAAAUCUCGGGUACUAGGGGAAAUAAUUUCCUUAAAGGGACACUGUGCAUUCACUGGGCUUGAUUUUUUCCAUUAUGUUUCAUUGUAUUGUUACAAAUCCUGGUAUGUUUUUACAAUCAUUAAUUUAUGCUUAUAUUAUUAAUUGUUAUUUUUGAGUA